UUGCAGGUUUUUAGUUGGGUUCAGAACAUCAGAUAUUUUGGUUCUAGAUAUCUGGCAACAAAGAUGGAUGAUUGGGAGGCUGAGGAUUUUCAACCACUUCCUGCAAAAGUUGUGCUCAAAAGUAACUAUGACGGCGAGGAUGUCGAUGAGAAGGAUAUCAAGGACUCCUGGGAUGAGGAUGAUGAACCUGUUCAUAUUUGUAGGCAUCUGUAAUAAAGCCUGCUACUGAGAAGGCUCCAAUGAAAGCAGCAGCAGCAAAAGGUGUGGAGAAGAAAACUAAAACUGUUGAAGUUUCAAAAGAAUCAUCAAAGGAAAAACUUUUAGAUCCUAUUGCUGAGAAACUUUGCAUGCAGAGAUAUAAUAUUGAAACAUUUCACUCCUAUAUAUAUUUGCUUCUUCUUUUGGUUCCUAGAGAUGAAAGCUUGCCUGAGGCUGGCAAUGCUGAGGCACACUUUAUAAAGGGAGUGAAGCAGUACUUUGCAUUGGAUCAGCUUAAAAGGACUCAAACAUCUAAGGUCCUCAGCCAAGGACAACCAUGAUUUUAUAAUUAUCCUGUUUUGUUGAAUUUUUAAUAUUCCAGUACCUAUAUCUAAUAUUGAUGGAC